ensembl:misc_RNA 7SK 7SK RNA
GGCAACCACAAAAAUCUGGCUGCAACAUCUGUCACCCCAUUGAUCACCAGGGUUGAUUCGGCUGGUCUGGCUGGUGAGGCGGGUCCCCUUCUUUCCUCACUGCUCCAUGUCCGUCCCUCCCAAGGCAGCAUGCUUGGUUGAAAAGGACAACCAUCCCUGAUAGAGGAGGACUGUUCUUUGGUCAAAGGUAUAUGACUACCUGCACUCCCCUGGUAGAAGCUCCAAACAAGCGCUCACAAGAUUUUGACCUUGCCUCUGCAAUCUCAUUAGCCACUUCCUAAAAGAAAUCUAACACUGGAGGUAGAGAUAGACAUAUAGAUAGAGAUAGAUAAACUUUAGAUGUGUGUUCUGUUCAUUCU